rnacentral:rRNA from 1 species
CCCGGGAUAGCCCAGGGAAACCUGGAUUAAUACCGGAUGAGACGGGACCCGCGAUGGCGGGACCCGGGAAAGGCGCUGCGGCGCCGCCGGGGGAUGAGUCUGCGUCCCAUUAGCUAGACGCGGGGUAACGGCCCACCGUGGCGACGAUGGGUAGCCGGCCUGAGAGGGUGGACGGCCACAUUGGAACUGAGACACGGUCCAGACUCCUACGGGAGGCAGCAGCUAAGAAUCUUCCGCAAUGGGCGAAAGCCUGACGGAGCCGACGCCGCGUGAACGAAGAAGGCCGUGAGGUUGUAAAGUUCUUUUCGGGAGGGGAACAACCGUGGCAGGGAAUGGCCGCGGGAUCGACGUGAAUCCCGGAAUAAGCCCCGGCUUAACUACGUGCCAGCCGCCGC